rnacentral:misc_RNA from 2 species
CUGAAUUUGAAAGAGGUUGUUGCUGGCCUUCACCGGCAUGUGCACGCCUUGAUCUCAUCCAUCUUACACCUGUGCACCUUUGCGUGGGUCUGUUGGCUUUGCGGCCUUCGGAUUUGCGUCUUUCACAAACUCUUUGUAUGUAACAGAAUGUCUUAUGCUAUAAAACGCAUCUUAUA